rnacentral:misc_RNA from 1 species
GAGAGAGAGAGAGAGAGAGAAUACUCUCGAGCCUUCGAUUUUUGCUCUCAGACCUCGCCGAGCUUUGGUUGCUCCCAUAGUCCUCCCCUGCCUCCGAACAAGGGAAGGUGUUUUCUGCUCUCCGAUUGGGUUAAGCGCCCCUCCCCUGUUUGGAGUGUUUAUAGAUGGGUUUUGCAUUAGCAAAUCUUGGGUGCAUGGUAAGGAAUUUGCGUGAUGAUCUGCUUGAGGCAGUUGCAUGUCUCUUGCUAGAUGUAUCUUGUUUGCUGGAGUUUAGACGCAAUGGUCCACCUGAUGCAGUUUUCAAGCUUUGGUUAUAUAUGGGUGUUUGGUGGCUCUACUUCAACAGGAGGUUUAUCGCUUUUGCAGUUUGCAUAUCCACGAAUAUGCUUCUACACUACGGCUGGGAAAGCCAUCCGUAUAUCUUUAGGUAGCCAUGGAGCUUUGAGGCGGCACCACCUUAUUCUUGUGGAGCUGCGAUGGUUCUGUUUUCAAGUUUUGACUGCUAGAAAUGUCAAGUCGGCCUAUGACACCAGGUAGAGGUGCGGUGGAUGAUUGGUUGACUAUGGUUGUUUCUUGUCUUGGCUUAUUGUUUGCUUUUCGGUCUUCCUCAGCUCCUCGGCAGUGGCGAGCUUGGUCGAAGGCGGUGAUGUUCUGAGGUUGCUCUCUUUUAUUUCCCUAGGGUUUUUCCUUGGUCCUUUUGUAGAUCCUAUUUAUUUGUACUCUCCUGCCCAUUUGGGUCUUGGUAAUGCAAU